UUGGAGGGCAAGUCUGGUGCCAGCAGCCGCGGUAAUUCUAGCUCCAAUAGCGUAUAUUAAAGUUGCUGCAGUUAAAAAGCUCGUAGUUGAAUUUCGGGACCAUCAUGUCGGUCGUGCCUCGGUACGUACUGGCAUUGUUGGUUUCUCCCUUCUGACGAACCAUGAUGUCAUUUAUUUGGUGUUGUGGGGAAUCAGGACUGUUACUUUGAAAAAAUUAGAGUGUUUAAAGCAGGCUCACGCUUGAAUACAUUAGCAUGGAAUAAUGAAAUAGGACGUUUGAUUCUAUUUUGUUGGUUUCUAGGAUCGACGUAAUGAUUAAUAGGGAUAGUUGGGGGCAUUAGUAUUCAAUUGUCAGAGGUGAAAUUCUUGGAUUUAUUGAAGACUAACUACUGCGAAAGCAUUUGCCAAGGAUGUUUUCAUUAAUCAAGAACGAAAGUUAGGGGAUCGAAGACGAUCAGAUACCGUCGUAGUCUUAACCAUGAACUAUGCCGACUAGGGAUCGGAUGAUGUUAAUUUUUUAAUGACUCAUUCGGCGCCUUACGGGAAACCAAAGUGUUUGGGUUC
rnacentral:rRNA from 1 species